CGUCUUUUCUCUUGUACGGCGUUGAUCCAGGCGUACGGGAAUAGAGGGCUCCUCUGCCGAUCUUUGAUGGGAUCCGGGCGAUCUUGUCACCGACGUCUUGAAAGAUCUUAGAUUCUAUCCGCAAUCGCCCAGUCAAUGCGAUCCUGGCAAUGGGUGCUCCAUAUCAUUCUAUUCCCGCCCGGACGUGAUCUCCAGGAUUUGCGAAGAAGAAGGUCGUCGAUCAGAUGCGCGAUGCUGGCGCGCAAUUGAUUGGGGCUUCCCGCUACAUUUUCCCGCGCUAUCGUCUCUACUUCUCCAUUCUAGGGUUCUUUCUUGGAGGCGACGUAGGUUUUCUAUUGCCCGCGUGGUCGAGGAGACGGCGCUGGGGGGCGGCCUUGAUCGGCGUUCUGGAGCAGUGCCAAGGCGAGGAGCCCCAGCCAGCGUUGGUAAAUCGUGGACGACAGGGAGCUCUAGAUGUACGGUGACAACAAAGGUCCCUGCGGCAAAAUGUUCCAUCGGCUGUGGAUCGCCAAAAACUCCCGCAAAAGCUGAGGCUUCUAGGACAGCAAAAAUUGCCGAGAUGAGCGAUGAUAGUGGAGCAGAGGAUUUAUAUGAUUCGGGAGUAGAAAGUGGAGCAAUCGAUGGUGGAGAAGAAGAGGUAAACAAGAUCAUGACUGGAGGAGGAAACGAUGCCGAGGUGGAAAGAACAACAGUGGUGGAGAGCUCCAUUGAGACUGUCAGGAAACAUGGCGAAGCUGGUUGUGGUUCCGUGAAAGCUGAAGCUUCGGUUUCGAUCGCAGCUGGAUGUGAUCCUACGAAAGUAGAUGGCUUGGUGAAGAUGGAAGCUGGUUUUGAGUCUGCAAGAGUCGAAGCUCCGGUUGGCUCAGUGAAGAUGGAACCUGGUGGUGGCUUCUCCAAGAGACUGAAGUUGCCGGGUACUCGACGUCCAGGGGAUGACGGAUUCGUGUUGGCGAGUUCGUGUCCUUCAAUUUUCCCAAGCCUGAAGCCGAAAGUAAGAAGAAGUUCUUUGAGCACAAGAAGGUUCGGCCGAAAGCGAGCUCCGACAUUGUAAGGUUCUUGACAAAAGCUUCAGGAGAGAUAGGACGGCUUCCAGCCGACUGGGCCAAGUGUUUGAUACCUUUGGGAAGUGCAAAAUGGCACCAGAGGCUCUUUCUCUUAUGAGCAGCGUAGUUCUCCAUUUGAGAGUUUAUAUCAACAAGUCAGAAGCCUUACGAGGAGGGGGAUGAGCGCGGAUUGAAGCUUCUGCAAGCUAUCUUGAAGCCGUUAAUGCUUCGAAGAAUAAAAGAUUCAACUGAUAAAGAAGGAAGGUAAGCUAUCAUGCAGGCGUUCCUGUACGAAAUAGGAACUCAUAACUGUACCAACAAGUAAUCGGUUUCGAAUAAAUGUCGAGGAGCAGUGGAAGGAGUCGUCCAAAGUCGAGGCUCUGCUGCACCACCUCCAGACGUUAAGUGAGGCCGGGUCGAAAAGCGUUGAUUUUAGUCAGUGGACAGCGUUUCUCGACUUGUUAGAGAUACCAUUGAAAAGACCUUCUGUUUCGUCCGCUUGGACGGAACACUAUCGCAGCGUCAGCGAGAACAAGUGCUCAAAAACUUCAGCAAUAUUCCAGCCGUGGCCGUCAUGCUCAUGCUUUUCUCAUGGUACGCGCUAUAGUUUUCUUUUUUAGCCAUCUUCCGAGUCGAGAAUGUGGACGAUCGAGCAUCGGUCAGACGAAGAACGUAUCGAUCAAGCGAUUCAUCGUCAAAAGGAGGACUCGGUGGAGGAGAGAAUGCAACAGGUCCAAGCGAGGAAGCAGCGAUUUCGCGAGGGCUCUCACAGACAAAGAGGUGCGAAGCGCUCGAAUCGAGGAGCUCAAAAUGCUAUUUAGAUGAGAAGAACUGGAGUCCUUAGCAUUUUUUUAACUUAUAAAUAGGGGAAUAUGCUUCUAGCA